CCUCCUUUUCCCCAUUGGCAUCAAAUAGUAACAUCUUGAUUCUCCUGCAAUGUCCUUUUCAUAAUGGUUUAAAUCUGUGUGUUUAUUUAAAACAUGGACAUACGUAACUUUUGUUUUACCUGCCAGCCAGGGUUAUCUUGUGCCCUGCUUUACAUUAAUGUAAUUACUUGUGAAGUAGCUCUAUUCCAAAUUGAAUAGGGAAAUAUCAGCUUGCUGCAGGCUCUGUGCACAUCCAGGAAUUAAAGUAAUUUAAGAUAUGAGGUUUUAAAUGGAAACUGUAUUUGUAAGAAGAAGACAUAAUUCAUAAUUCAUUGCCAGAGGUAUCCAUCUCAAUGAAACUUUUAGUGGGACAGAAAUACACUCCAAAUUCUGAAUUCUUGAUUUUCUGAGUAGUUUGGAUCCUGGCAUCCUUUUCAGUUGGAUAGAUUUCUGGUGUGUUGUGAAACCUGGGAUAUAUCCUGGCUUUCAUUUCCUUCCAUUUCUUACUGAUACUAUUUCCUGGGGUGUCUUCUUGACUCUUCUUGACACUGGCUGUUUGCUGGUAAUUCUGUCCAGUGAUCUUCAAUUUGACUUGUCAUCCUCAGGCAAUCGUGUCUUCCUUGAGUAUGAUGUGUCAAAUGUUUGUUUGUUUGUAUUUUAACUUUUU
rnacentral:lncRNA from 1 species